CAAGGAGGUUGUAUUUUCGCGGGACACUGUUUAGCCAUCAAAAGAAUGUGCAAAUGGAACAACACCUGUUCUAUUCAAAUUCCUGUUAUUCCAAACCUCUGCCUAGAGAAGUGGCACUGAUGCUCAUGUUGAGGCGUCCUCCAGUAAGCCCCUGCGUUAUACAAACAUUGCUCGUUCUGGAGUUCCCUCAUCCAUGCAUGGUCCUGCACAAGUUCAUCAGCACUUCAUCUGGACUGACUGAACGGAUUGCAUGUGGUUUAAUGCGCCAGUUAGUUCUGGCGGUGCAGCACUGCAUUGACCACGGCGUUUUUCAUAACAACAUCCUGGUGAACACAGGAACUUCGGGGCUGAAGCUAAUUGAAGCUAAUCUGUAGAAUGUUUUUAGAGAAUGUUAUCCUACCUUUUAGGAGAAUAUUCUGGGAACUAAAAUAAAA